rnacentral:rRNA from 1 species
CAGCAGCCGCGGGAAUACGUAGGUGGCAAGCGUUGUCCGGAAUUAUUGGGCGUAAAGGGCUCGCAGGCGGUUUCUUAAGUCUGAUGUGAAAGCCCCCGGCUCAACCGUGGAGGGUCAUUGGAAACUGGGAAACUUGAGUGCAGAAGAGGAGAGUGGAAUUCCACGUGUAGCGGUGAAAUGCGUAGAGAUGUGGAGGAACACCAGUGGCGAAGGCGACUCUCUGGUCUGUAACUGACGCUGAGGAGCGAAAACGUGGGGAGCGAACAGGAUUAGAUACCCCCGUAGUCCCUGUCUCUUAUAC